rnacentral:rRNA from 1 species
GACGAACGCUGGCGGCGUGCCUAAUACAUGCAAGUAGAACGCUGAAGGAGGAGCUUGCUCUUCUGGAUGAGUUGCGAACGGGUGAGUAACGCGUAGGUAACCUGCCUGGUAGCGGGGGAUAGCUAUUGGAAACGAUAGCUAAUACCGCAUAAGAGUAGAUGUCGCAUGACAUUUGCUUAAAAGGUGCAAUUGCAUCACUACCAGAUGGACCUGCGUUGUAUUAGCUAGUUGGUGAGGUAACGGCUCACCAAGGCAACGAUACAUAGCCGACCUGAGAGGGUGAUCGCCACACUGGGACUGAGACACGGCCCAGACUCCUACGGGAGGCAGCAGUAGGGAAUCUUCGGCAAUGGACGGAAGUCUGACCGAGCAACGCCGCGUGAGUGAAGAAGGUUUUCGGAUCGUAAAGCUCUGUUGUAAGAGAAGAACGAGUGUGAGAGUGGAAAGUCACACUGUGACGGAUUUACCAGAAAGGAC